CAACCUGCCCACCACUUGGGGAUAACCUUGCGAAAGUAAGACAAUACCCAAUGAUAUCUCUAGAAGGCAUCUGAAAGAGAUUAAAGAUUUAUCGGUGAUGGAUGGGGAUGCGUCUGAUUAGCUUGUUGGCGGGGUAACGGCCCACCAAGGCAACGAUCAGUAGGGGUUCUGAGAGGAAGGUCCCCCACAUUGGAACUGAGACACGGUCCAAACUCCUACGGGAGGCAGCAGUGAGGAAUAUUGGUCAAUGGACGAGAGUCUGAACCAGCCAAGUAGCGUGCAGGAAGACGGCCCUAUGGGUUGUAAACUGCUUUUAUAAGGGAAUAAAGUGAGAGUCGUGACUCUUUUUGCAUGUACCUUAUGAAUAAGGACCGGCUGAUUCCGUGCCAGCAGCCGCGGUAAUACGGAAGGUCCGGGCGUUAUCCGGAUUUAUUGGGUUUAAAGGGAGCGUAGGCCGUCUGUUAAGCGUGUUGUGAAAUGUAGAUGCUCAACAUCUGAAUUGCAGCGCGAACUGGCAGACUUGAGUGUGCGCAACGUAGGCGGAAUUCGUGGUGUAGCGGUGAAAUGCUUAGAUAUCACGAAGAACUCCGAUUG
rnacentral:rRNA from 1 species